CGAACUGCGAUAAGUAAUGCGAAUUGCAGAAUUCAGCGAGCCAUCGAAUCUUUGAACGCACAUUGCGCCCGCCAGCAUUCUGGCGGGCAUGCCUGUCCGAGCGUCAUUUCCUCCCUCACGCAGCGCGCCUGCGUGGUGUUGGGGCGUUCUGCGGCCAGGCCUGCGCCCA
rnacentral:rRNA from 1 species